UAGAGUCACCUAUGGCAACACUUUAUUGAAAAAAAAGCUAUUGCAUUGGAUUUAUUUUCCCAAUUUGAAGAUUAUUCCAUUUGUUAUACUUUUUAUCAGAAGCAUAGAGAAAGAAAUUAAAUCUAAACCCUUCUUCUUUCUAUAAUGGUGAAACACUAAUUUUCUCUCUCUCUUAUUUCCCUUCUCCACCACCUCUCUUUUUUGUCCAUCGAGCACCACCAGUUUAAGGGUUUCGACAUCGAUGAUAUCAAUGAAAAACCUCAAUGAACCGCCAGUAUGUGCAAUUUCUAGCACUGCACCAUUUUCUAUGGUCCUAUGACAUUGCCUUUUCUCCUUUUCUACAGCUAAAACCCUAAUUUCAACCUCGUAUUAGAGGAGAAACACCUCCACAAGUGGCUUAUUAUACCAAAUAUCGUGUUUAAUGACUACCUCAUCUGUCCCACAGUAGAAGAAACCUAAGACACCGCCACAACCAUGGCUCAUUGUUGGCCUUGGUAGCCUUAGGAAAUGAUAUGUUGGGACUCAUCAUAAUUUAGGUUUUGAGAUGAUAGAUACUAUAGCUAAUGCUAAAAGAAUAUCCAUAGGCAGUGUUUACUUCAAAGAUCAAUUUGGAAAAGAUCAUUCCUCUUCUACUGCUGGUUGAUUGAACUUCUCAAAAAUUAUAUUGGAUUGGAAAUGAAAGACUUCUUGGAAGUUCCUUCAAUCCUUCGAACCCACUGAAAAGCUUUAUUGCUCCGUUGCCUGCACUACCUAGGUGUAUGCUGGAGAAUGUAAAUCCGAGAUUACGGACGUCGCGCUGCCCCCAGUGCAAGGAGAAGUAUGACCUUGAGUUGGCAAAACUUAUAUCUGAGUUUGAGAAUUCAUCAUAUGAAGCUAAAUUAGAAUCUCCUCGACCUCAGUUGCCUCAGUGGUUAAAAAGUGCUAAGCUAAUGAAUGAUGUAACUUCUUUGUCAUAGGAAAGUUUGAGCUUGAUAACUUAUAGAGAGAUUCCAAUGAGAUUACCAAUGAAUUGUGCAGGCUAAAAGAGGGUGAAGAUAAAGUGAAUCAGUACGUGCAUUUAUUCAACUCCAUCCUUACACCGAUAGAGAGGACUACGUGUUGGAUACUUGAGAACUACCAGAAAGAGGAUGGAUUCGAGAUUCCUAAAGUUCUAUGGUCAUACAUGAGUGGGAAGACAUUCAUUCCUUUCCAGUUAAAGAGAGCUUCAAAUGCCAAUGGUGAACAAAAUGGAGGUUCAGUAACAUUUGCAAAAGAUGACUUAAGUCAUGAAUCUUCAAAGGCCUUGUAGUGUAAUACUCUGGCAAAGCUUCUUUGAAGCAUCAGUUAUUUAGGUUGACCACAUCUGCUAUUCAGAAUAUGUUAAAGGUGUAGGUAGGAAGUUUACUUCAUUGUGCUUAUGAGUAGUGCUCUUUGUUGUCUAUAAGGAGUGUGUGGACUCCAAGUGUUGAUUUGUAUACAGAUAGUAUUAUAUUCAUGUAUACAUAUUGUGUUAACAUUUAUUAUGUAUGUAAAUAAAAAUUUACAUUAAUACAA